AACGCGAAGAACCUUACCUGGGCUCGAAAUGCAGGAGACCGGGGUAGAAAUAUCCUUUCCUCGCAAGAGGCUGCUGUAUAGGUGCUGCAUGGCUGUCGUCAGCUCGUGUCGUGAGAUGUUGGGUUAAGUCCCGCAACGAGCGCAACCCUCAUCCCUAGUUGCCACCGGGUAAUGCCGAGCACUCUAGUGAAACCGCCCCGGAUAACGGGGAGGAAGGUGGGGAUGACGUCAAGUCCUCAUGGCCUUUAUGUCCAGGGCUACACACGUGCUACAAUGGUCGGUACAAACCGUCGCAAAGCCGCAAGGUGGAGCUAAUCGGAAAAAGCCGGCCUCAGUUCGGAUUGGAGUCUGCAACUCGACUCCAUGAAGCUGGAAUCGCUAGUAAUCGCAGAUCAGAACGCUGCGGUGAAUACGUUCCCGGGCCUUGUACACACCGCUCGCGA
rnacentral:rRNA from 1 species